GCCAUGGCCUUUGUUGUCGUGGCUAAUGGACCCAAAAAAAAAAGCUUCUUAUCCUCUCUAUAUCACGCUUGUGUUUCUGUGUCACGCCCUCCUUCUCCUCUGCCCCCUUUCUCUCUCUCUCUCUCUCUCUCUCUCCACUGCCGUCGGUACAUGAGCACAUGACGACCACCGCCAUUGAUAUCACCAUUGCAAACUAGCAACCAUUCUCUGAAAUGGAGGAGACGCAAUAGAAGGGGUUUGACAUUGAGAUCGCUGGCCAAAGUUAGAGGCUAGAAUCGACAGAGGCGGCAAUUGAGAUGCGUAGUAGGGGCGGAAUGUAAACUCAAAAACAAAAACAAAAACUCUAUUCGAUUCAUCUAAAAUUCUCAUUUUCUCCGAAAUGGGGUUGUGGGAUUCCCUCCUCAAUUGGCUCUGCAGGACAUUUUUAAAGAGGUCAUUGUCAGAUGGCAACAUUCUUUGUGAAAGCAAUUCACCCAUUGAAGCCACUAAUGUUUGACAAAAUGAAUAUCACAAUCAACUUUUGCUUGAUAAGACGCAAGGUCUUUCAGAGCCAACUCCAGAAAUCUUAACUUGUGAAAAUGAAUUAUCUUAUUCAAGGU